GACGAACGCUGGCGGCGUGCCUAAUACAUGCAAGUAGAACGCUGAAGGAGGAGCUUGCUUCUCUGGAUGAGUUGCGAACGGGUGAGUAACGCGUAGGUAACCUGCCUGGUAGUGGGGGAUAACUAUUGGAAACGAUAGCUAAUACCGCAUAAUAGCAGUUGUUGCAUGAUAACUGUUUGAAAGGUGCAAUUGCACCGCUACCAGAUGGACCUGCGUUGUAUUAGCUAGUUGGUGGGGUAACGGCUCACCAAGGCGACGAUACAUAGCCGACCUGAGAGGGUGAUCGGCCACACUGGGACUGAGACACGGCCCAGACUCCUACGGGAGGCAGCAGUAGGGAAUCUUCGGCAAUGGACGGAAGUCUGACCGAGCAACGCCGCGUGAGGGAAGAAGGGUUUCGGAUCGUAAAGCUCUGUUGUAAGAGAAGAACGAGUGUGAGAGUGGAAAGUUCACACUGUGACGGUAUCUUACCAGAAAGGGACGGCUAACUACGUG
rnacentral:rRNA from 1 species